GACAUCGUGCUCAAGUCUGGUUUAAGAGGCCGGUCUGCAAAACCGGUAUUCGUGGGUUCGAAUCCCACCGAUGUCU
rnacentral:tRNA from 2 species